UGUCAAGGUUGAUGUCUAUGGUAUCCC
rnacentral:sRNA from 1 species